GAGAAUGUGAAUAUGAUAGUUGAGUCCUUUCCCGUGAGAAAGUGAGAUCCCAGCAUAUAUCCCAGAAGGCCUCUGAGGUUGAUUUCGAGAUGCUGAGGCUCUGAGAGGACAUGCCAGUUCCUACCUGGGCAGCAGCGGCUUAGCAUCAGGAAAAGAAGCUUAAGCCUGGAACACAAGAGGCCACACUAAAAGAAGGAGAGACAUUGCACUUGAAUCUAGGAUCCAGCUACAUCUUUCCAGUCUCAGUGCAUCUUGCUCCUUUGUCUGAACAGCUCCACUGGAUUUCUGAGCUCUUGUCUACCUGGAUAACCACUGCAGAACCUGGCUCAAUGUGACUUCUUGGAGGCUUUCCAUAAAAGCAGUAAGAAAGAGGCCACAGACUAAGCAGGAGACUGUUGUUGCCUGAAGGAAAUGUCUAAUAACCAACAAUAGCUAAAUAUUACUCAGAGUUCAACUUUAAAAAAAAGAAAUAUCUCAAGUUUAAUCCUGCUCUUUCCUUAAUGACUGACUGGAUCCCAAGACUGAACAUGCUGGAAAGAAACAAAUCAUUC